GAGAUUCGAACACAGAAUUAGUUGCUUGCAAUUAUUCUUGAAAUUAAGUAUUUAUAAUUAUAAAAUAUUGGUUAAUUUAAGAAAUAUCUUUGAAAUUAUAACGGUCUAACUUAGAAUUUAUAUUAUUGUUUUAAAGAAUUCUAAUCAUUGCAUGUUUUGUUGUCCAGUGUAUCCCAAUCAGUUUGUUACCACUAAUGGCAGAUCCAGGAUUGUUACCCCAAGGGGUCUUAGUAUAAAAGUUCCGAUAUUUUUUUUAACAUGAAAAUAACACUAAAAGAUAAUUUUCUAUUAUUUUCCUCUUAUCGUUCCAUAAUUCUACACAUAAAUUAAUCAAACCAAAUAGUCAGCCAUUUUUUUUAAAAGAAACAAAUUUUAUUAAGACAAAUGAACAAACAGAGAGAGGACAAGAAGUCCAUCACAAAAUUAAUCAUAAACCCUAAAUUCCAACAAAUCAAAUAAUCAUAAAUAGUCAUCCAAUCCAAUAAAUCAUCCACACACAAAAUCAUCAAUAUUCAUCCAUUUCAUUAAAUCAUUAUCCAAUAAAAAAUUAGGCAUUAUCAUCAAACAAAAGAAUGUAACACAGAGGUUUAAGUAUACCAAGAGCAAUAAAUUUACAAUAUCGGUGAUGGAGAGGGAAGAGAAUAAAAUUUUCAGCCAUGUUUGAGGGUUUUGUUUUUGGGGGAGGGAGGGGAGAGAUUUAGUUGGGAACUUAGGGUAGAGAAUAAUAAAAUUUGGGGAUUUUAGGAGUCCAUUUGAGUGUUUGAGUUGAAUGGAGAAGAGACAUGGUAUUUUAUUACAUUUAUUUAAGUAUUUUUAUGUUUUUCAUAAAUCUUUGUCUCAUGAAAGCCCACUCUCCACUUCAGAGAGUGGACAAGACGACCCAAUGAAAUGGGACAUUGGAAGGGUUGUUGGGUAGAUGCGUAUAUUAAACGUUGGCCAAUAUUUUCCAGAUUUGGUAAAGUUGUAUGAUUGAAAGCAAUGGGAUGGAGGUAUUAGGUGGGUUUGGACUUUGGGGGGAGUUGCUGGGCCAUGCCAUUUAAAAAAAAAGAUUCCUAGGUCAAAACGACGUCGUUUUGCCCAGGAUGUUUAAAAAAAAAAAAAAAACAGAGGCGCUUCUUCUUCCUUGUGCAACUCCUUUCUUCCUCAGGAAAAACGUCGAGCACGUAGUGUGCAAUUCCAAGGGGUCUCUCCCCCAACUCCAAGGGACCUCUAAGCCUAUUUUCAUAGCUUACAAGAGGUUGUGCAACCCCACUGACCCCACUGUGGCUCUGCCACUGGUUACCAACUAAAACCUUGAAAUUCUUCUUCCCACAAAAAAACAAAAACAAAAACAAAAACCUCAAAAUUCCAUGAUUUUCAAACCCUCAUAUCAGGUUUAGUGUGUUGCUGAAAUUACAUUUGUGCCCGUUUAAUUGUUUUUCCUGUGUUUUGAGCUCAAUGCUCUCUUUGACAUGAGCUCUGUUAUAUGCGAGCUAUGAACACGUCUCCAAGCUCACUUUUCUGGGUUCAUGAUGAUGAGCACCAAUUCAUGAAGGUUGGGC
rnacentral:lncRNA from 1 species